CACCAAUACAGGAAAGACCUCUCGUUAACCAUCAUUGAUUACAGCUGUGUUGUUUCCUCUCCACGAGUCAGUUGUCUGCAGGGAAGCAGUUGAGAACAGUCAAACAUUGAGUCUCAAGUCAAUUAAGGGAAAUACAGUAAAACAAAGUUAUAUUUUCAAGCUAAAGAAGACAAUGAACUGAAUUGUGAAGCUUGUCAAACUUCUUUCUCACUACAAACAACAGUAAGUGAGCAUAUCAACAAAAUAUGCUGGAUACUUCAGCUUGCUUCCUGCUGUAGGUAGUAGCAACUAGGAGUUAGCUUUUUUGGUCAAAGAUGGAAGGAAAAGCUGAAUUAUACUUCACAGUGACAACUGCAGUGGGUCUUAACUUUAAGACUGGGACACGUCGACACCGUUAUAGAAAAGAGAAAACUUCCGAGAAGAACGAUUGAAGCGGCUACAGGACAUGAUAUGAAAACUUUGUUUCCAUGGAAGGAAAUCACUUGAAAAUGAACAUUUUGCCAUGAAAAAACCUUCCAAAUGUACAGAAGUCUCUGUGAUGCAGAUGAUGCAGAAUGGACACAGCAGUAAUUUUAUUACAAUAAAAUAUUGAACAGA